AUCGCUUCUCGGCCUUUUGGCUAAGAUCAAGUGUAGUAUCUGUUCUUAUCAGUUUACAAUCUGAUACGUCCUCUGUAUGACGACUGCAUUCAUCCAUCCAUC
ensembl:snRNA U2 U2 spliceosomal RNA